AGAGUUUGAUCCUGGCUCAGAUUGAACGCUGGCGGCAGGCCUAACACAUGCAAGUCGAGCGGUAGAGAGAAGCUUGCUUCUCUUGAGAGCGGCGGACGGGUGAGUAAUGCCUAGGAAUCUGCCUGGUAGUGGGGGAUAACGUUCGGAAACGGACGCUAAUACCGCAUACGUCCUACGGGAGAAAGCAGGGGACCUUCGGGCCUUGCGCUAUCAGAUGAGCCUAGGUCGGAUUAGCUAGUUGGUGGGGUAAUGGCUCACCAAGGCGACGAUCCGUAACUGGUCUGAGAGGAUGAUCAGUCACACUGGAACUGAGACACGGUCCAGACUCCUACGGGAGGCAGCAGUGGGGAAUAUUGGACAAUGGGCGAAAGCCUGAUCCAGCCAUGCCGCGUGUGUGAAGAAGGUCUUCGGAUUGUAAAGCACUUUAAGUUGGGAGGAAGGGCAGUAAAUUAAUACUUUGCUGUUUUGACGUUACCGACAGAAUAAGCACCGGCUAACUCUGUGCCA
rnacentral:rRNA from 1 species